ACACUGGAAGCCUCUCUGUGGCUGAUGGGAGGACCAGGGCUGAUGAAAGGAUGGAGCCAUGAAGGGCAGCCCUCCUGCUGCGGGUCGCCCUGCUGCUGCCCUGGGCCUGCAGCUCCUGGCACGUGGGUCUCUGGGACUCCUUGUGGAUGUGCCUCUCCAGGGCCCUCCAUCCUCGGUGGGCAGGAGACUCCCCUAGGGAGCUUGCUCUCAAGUAAAUUCAUGGCCAUCGGACGAUA
rnacentral:lncRNA from 1 species